AGACGCAGCCUCAACAAAGAGCACGGCCGCCACUCCAGCAUGAGAGCCCCUGGGCGGAAAAGUCCACCAAGUGACUCCGCGCGGCGCGGCCCGGCCAGCACGUUUCCCCGGACUCGCGUCUUCUGGCACACAUAGUUCCUUUUGGCGUCUUAUCUUCUGAAGCUGCCUCAAGGCCAAGCAAAGAAAGUUGUUAAAAAGUUAAGUUACUUUUCACAGCCUGCAAACCCUUCAAAGGCAAGAACUCAAAUAGAAACUUGGAAAGGCAGAUAAGCCAGAAAAGUGUACUAAUAAACGCACUUAAUAUGA